ACGAACGCUGGCGGCGUGCUUAACACAUGCCAGUCGAACGGAAAGGCCCUGCUUUUGUGGGGUGCUCGAGUGGCGAUCGGGUGAGUAACACGUGAGUAACCUGCCCUUGACUUUGGGAUAACUUCAGGAAACUGGGGCUAAUACCGGAUAGGAGCUCCUGCUGCAUGGUGGGGGUUGGAAAGUUUCGGCGGUUGGGGAUGGACUCGCGGCUUAUCAGCUUGUUGGUGGGGUAGUGGCUUACCAAGGCUUUGACGGGUAGCCGGCCUGAGAGGGUGACCGGCCACAUUGGGACUGAGAUACGGCCCAGACUCCUACGGGAGGCAGCAGUGGGGAAUAUUGCACAAUGGGCGGAAGCCUGAUGCAGCAACGCCGCGUGCGGGAUGACGGCCUUCGGGUUGUAAACCGCUUUCGCCUGUGACGAAGCGUGAGUGACGGUAAUGGGUAAAGAAGCACCGGCUAACUACGUG
rnacentral:rRNA from 1 species